GAUGAAGAACGCAGCGAAAUGCGAUAAGUAGUGUGAAUUGCAGAAUUCAGUGAAUCAUCGAAUCUUUGAACGCACAUUGCGCCCUUUGGUAUUCCUUAGGGCAUGCCUGUUCGAGCGCCAUUUAAACCUUCAAGCUCAGCUUGGUGUUGGGUGACUGUCCGCUUCACCGCGGACUCGCCUCAAAAUUAUUGGCGGCCGGUACAUUGGCUUCGAGCGCAGCAGAAACGCGAACUCGGGCCCGUCGUAUUGGCUCCCAGAAGCUAUCUUCACAAUUUUGACCUCGGAUCAGGUAGGGAUACCCGCUGAACUUAAGCAUAUCAAUAAGCGGAGGA
rnacentral:misc_RNA from 1 species